rnacentral:rRNA from 1 species
GACGUAGGAUGCAAGCGUUGUCCGGAAUUAUUGGGCGUAAAGAGUUCGUAGGCGGUUACUUAAGUCUGGUGUUAAAGACGGGAGCUCAACUCCCGCAUGGCAUCGGAAACUGGGUGGCUAGAGUGUGGUAGAGGUCUCGGGAAUUCCAGGUGUAGCGGUGAAAUGCGUAGAUAUCUGGAGGAACACCGGUGGCGAAAGCGCGAGACUGGGCCAUAACUGACGCUGAGGAACGAAAGCCAGGGGAGCGAAAGG